GAAUGUAUUUGUUCUGUCAGUUUUCAUUAUGCUUCGGUAAAUAGACCGAAAAAAAUUGCCAUCUCCGCCCACUGGACAUUGUAACCGCUGUAAAGAGACUCGUCAAUGUGUAUAGCACCUAUCUUUUCUUAUCAAAGUAACUAGGUGCUUUGGAUCAUACUAUUUUAUGGGAACUAAGUUCGAGCUGUUCGCAACAACUUGAAUGUGGGACUAGAUUGUAGCUGUGCGCCGUAAAAGUAUCCCUUCACUAACAAGAUUGUACAUUCAACUAGCACAUGUGUACUUGUAUCGGCAACACAGUAAAUGAUGGUUUCGUCAGCAGAAUGACUUGGAAUCACCGCCUCACGCACACACGGUUGGAUUAUAUAAAGAUGGUUCUGUUGUGAGCUGAAACAUGGUUGGACGAAUAUGGCUACCUCCACAGAUGUUGUACGCAUACAGUAGUGUGAUUGCCUGUCAGCUUAAGAGCUGUGAAUGAAAUGUAUUCUCUGCCACCAUGGCUAGCAAUGGAUCCAACUUAUGGAGUAAAACUUCACCGGAAAUUGGAAAGGUCAGAGAGGACAAUCCUACCCAAGGCGCA